rnacentral:rRNA from 1 species
AUUGAACGCUGGCGGUAUGCUUAACACAUGCAAGUCGAACGGUAACAGGCCUUCGGGCGCUGACGAGUGGCGGACGGGUGAGUAACGCGUAGGAAUCUGCCUCAUAGUGGGGGACAACGUGGGGAAACUCACGCUAAUACCGCAUACGCCCUACGGGGGAAAGCGGGGAUCUUCGGACCUCGCGCUAUGAGAUGAGCCUGCGUUAGAUUAGCUAGUUGGUAGGGUAAAGGCCUACCAAGGCGACGAUCUAUAGCUGGUCUGAGAGGACGAUCAGCCACACUGGGACUGAGACACGGCCCAGACUCCUACGGGAGGCAGCAGUGGAGAAUAUUGGACAAUGGCGAAAGCCUGAUCCAGCAAUGCCGCGUGAGUGAUGAAGGCC